UUUCCCUUCCGCAUCACGUGGGGACUGCGCCUCCCCAUGUCAUGAAGCCAGGGAAUAUGUGUGGCCGGCUGCUUAGGGUAGCACUUGUUGCUAGAGACAGCGCCUGGAGGCCACUGAUCUGUAAAAGGGAUCUCUACAGAAGAUGGGGAUUUUUGAUUGCCACAGAAGAGAUAUGUGAGAUCCAAAUGCCCAAGGAGGAAAGCAAGCUCUGAAGUCUCUUCCAGCCCUGAUGGAACAAACUACCGAGCCUUAUUAUGCUAGGUGUUUUCCACAUGCCUAUUCAUUUAAUCCUCCAGGAACCUUGUAAGAACGGCCAUCCCAUUUCAUGUUUAAACAAACUGUAGCUACUGACGCAAGGAGUCAGGGAUCUAAUCCCAAAGCCUCUGCCGGGUUCGCUACAGACGGAUGUCCGCGAGGAUGCCAGCCCUCCGCCUCCCGCCGGGUCUCUGAACGCCUGCCCGGCCGGUCCAACCUCAUUCCGCUUCCCGCCAACGAGACGCGAAGCCCCCGCCUGCCCCCAAACGUCUCUGCGCCGCUGGCGCCUUUCUGGCUCCACCGUCUCCGACCCCAGGCCCCGGUCCCCGCCCGCCGCUCCACUUGUCCUGGGAGUGAGGAGAACGCGUGCCGAGAACCCGGCCAGAGGGACGGCGGGCACCGCCCUCCCGCUGCGUCUCUGAGGGCGAGGCCAUUGCUCCCGCGUCAGACCCCCGCAUGGCCGUCAGGUCCGGGGCGGCCCAGGCUGCGGGUCUGCAGGGCGCUUCGGGCCGAGCUGGCGGGGCACGUACAGGCAGAGAACGCCCCGAAGACCGCUGGGGUGGGAUCCCAAGCUCCAGGGACCUUUGGAAAUAAGAAUGCGGCAUGACGUUGGCUGUGCGGGCUCGGGGCGGACGCGGACCCUACAAGCUCAUCGCCGAACCCGGACGGCCGCACCCCCUCAACCUCGGCGUUUCUCUCGGUCCGCGGCUCCGCUCAGCCAAUCAGCGAGUGGGCUCCUAGGCAGGUCUUGAGUGACAGCGCGGCGGGCUGGGUCCGGAGGUGCGCAUGCGCGGACCGGCCCGGCUGGUCGCUUCGGGCGCUCGACUCCUGUUGCGCAUGCUCAGCGCGCUGCCCGGCCGGGGACCCGCGCAUCUGCAGCGCCCGCUGCUCGGCCCUGCAUCCCACCUGGGCAUCCUGCGCCCGGCCAUGACGGCGCACUCAUUCGCCCUCCCGGUCAUCAUCUUCACCACGUUCUGGGGCCUCAUCGGCAUCGCCGGGCCCUGGUUCGUGCCGAAGGGACCCAACCGCGGAGUGAUCAUCACCAUGCUGGUCGCCACCGCUGUCUGCUGUUACCUCUUCUGGCUCAUCGCCAUCCUGGCACAGCUAAACCCCCUGUUCGGGCCCCAGCUGAAGAAUGAGACCAUCUGGUACGUGCGCUUCCUGUGGGAGUGACCUGCCUGCCUGACCCAGCACUUCACCCCAACGCAAGACCCUAACCUGGACGGAGGGAGGGAGAGGGUGCCCAGCUCUCAGAAUGCCUGUGGCUCCACUGUCCCUGACAACCCCUUCGUCCGGACCCUCCCCCACACAGCUGUGUCUGGUCUCCAGCUCCCUCCUGCUGGCACCCAGAGACCCGGACCUGCAGGGCCUGCCUGGUCCCUGGAAGUCUUCCCAGUCUUCCCAGCCAGCCUGGGCCCUGGGGAGCCCGGGGCACAGCAGUGGCUGAGGGGAUGUCCUGCUCCAGUACCCGCACUGCUCUGGGGUUCGCGCUCUUUCCCAAGGAGAUGCUGCUGGGGAGCUGGUAUGGGCGGGGUCCUUCCCUUUACGGAUGGGGCAGAUGCCAGGACUCAGCCCAUCCUGAGGAGGACCCGUGUCCGCGUGGAGGGUGCUCUGGCCCAGGCCUGGGAGUUGGUGCCCCGUCAGCAGCUCUGCCACCAUCCUGCUGGGAACUGGUGGGCCUCUAUUGGGUUAUAGGCAAGGCCUUUUCUCUGGCAUGGAAUUGUUACUUUUCUGACACAUCUAGAUGUGAAAUUUCUGAAAAUGUUAAAGUAGAGAAACAUUCACACACAAAAAGCAACAUAGUCAUGUGGGUCCAGAUGGCCUCAGUCCUAGAUAUUGGCACCCUUUGCUGUGUCUCCUCAGAAUAUCCUGUUCCCCCUCCUCCCACCCAGACCUCCCCUCAGCAGAUGUCUUCCCUCCCCGACCCCAGCCUGUCAGUGCAGGUUUGACCGCACUGCACUGAGCACAGGACAGGUUUGGGCCCUGACUUGGGCCUCAGGCUGCAGUGGGGGUGGAUUUCAGAGCCUCUCAUGGCAGCAUCUAAGUGACCAGAGCUGGGAUGAGAGAGGGGAAGGGGCAGUGGGAGUGGCGCUAUGGGGCGGGCCAGCCCUGCUCCUGCGCCAGCCCUGCCCUCUGCCCCCGGGCCCUGGGCUCUGUGCUAGGGAUGGUGAAGAAUGGGGGCGUGCCGGCCUGGCAGGAGUGGGAAGCAACACGCAGGGGUCCCGGGCCUCUCCAGCCUUGCCCUCAUGCUUACCCAAGCUCCCGGUGUGGUUAGUGGUUAGCACAGAGCUCACCCGCCUUGCCUGGCUCCCAGCUGAGGGCCUGUCCCCACCGGUGCUCCAGGGGAAGAAACGCCAGCCUUGCUUCUGUAUGGACUGCUGGUCUGGCCUGCCGUCCUGUUCAGUGGGCAUUGUCUUUGGAGCAGCAGGAGAAUAGGAUGCCUCUCACAUGCCAGUUCCCGGCUGGCCAGCUGCUCAGGGCUCAGGCUGGGGCCUCCCAUUGACAUCCUCCCCCAACACUCCCUCUCCGGGCCUCCGUUGCCCCUCCUGUUGGGUGAGGGUGUUGAGUGUGACUUGUGUUGAAAACCUGGUUCAUAUCUAAUAAAUCAUGGUGAUGAAAAAAUUA